GUAAAAUUUUAAAGGUCGAACAGACCUAAUUUAUUAGCUUCUACACCAAUAAUUUUUUUUAAUCCAACAUCGAGGUCGCAAUCUUUUCUAUUGAUUUGAACUCUAAAGAAAAAUUACGCUGUUAUCCCUAAGGUAAUUUUAUCUUUUAAUCUUUAAAUAAGGAUCAACUAUUCACUUAUAAGUGUUAAAAUAAAAAAAAAGUUCAUUAAAUUUUUUAAUCACCCCAAUCAAAUAAUUAUCCUUAUAAAUUGAAAA
rnacentral:rRNA from 1 species